rfam:Orchesella cincta Ocin01_Sc6072, whole genome shotgun sequence.
CCAACGGCUCUUUUAAGAGCCACCACAACUUCUAAGAGCAAAACUAU